rnacentral:lncRNA from 1 species
AAAAAUGUCACAUCAUUUUGUUAAACAGACAUGCUUGAGUGUAUGCUAAUUAUGUGUAUGAUACAAACCAUAUCUGUUUAUUUAAAGUUUUCAUAUUUUUAUAUCUUAUCAGGACGUAGCUAUAUUGAAUACAAUGCAAUGUCAGGAAAUAAUGUGAAGUAGAGCAAUGGUCUUUGUUUUUCUUCCCAUUUAAAUACCACUUCUUUUUAUCAAUAUUCAGAUCAAUAUCUUAGUUUUUGAACAUUACCUUAUAUAUCAGGUAAACAAGUACGUACAAUUUGAAGAAUAGGUUAAAAUGAAUGACACCAUUUUAAUACACGCAUUCAUUGAAAUCCUGCCGUUAUAAGAGCCCCUCCUUGUCUCUUUUAUGUUUUACAAAAAUGAUUUGAAAUGUCUUCUUUUAACAGUUUAAAUGAUUUGUACAAUGUGAUAGAUAUAAAAUAUUGAAUGUACAACCCG